UGGGGAAUAUUGGACAAUGGGCGAAAGCCUGAUCCAGCCAUGUCGCGUGUGUGAAGAAGGUCUUCGGAUUGUAAAGCACUUUAAGUUGGGAGGAAGGGCAUUAACCUAAUACGUUAGUGUUUUGACGUUACCGACAGAAUAAGCACCGGCUAACUCUGUGCCAGCAGCCGCGGUAAUACAGAGGGUGAAAGCGUUAAUCGGAAUUACUGGGCGUAAAGCGCGCGUAGGUGGUUUGUUAAGUUGGAUGUGAAAUCCCCGGGCUCAACCUGGGAACUGCAUUCAAAACUGACUGACUAGAGUAUGGUAGAGGGUGGUGGAAUUUCCUGUGUAGCGGUGAAAUGCGUAGAUAUAGGAAGGAACACCAGUGGCGAAGGCGACCACCUGGACUAAUACUGACACUGAGGUGCGAAAGCGUGGGGAGCAAACA
rnacentral:rRNA from 1 species